rnacentral:rRNA from 1 species
UACAGAGGGGGCAAGCGUUGUUCGGAAUUACUGGGCGUAAAGGGCGCGUAGGCGGCCGGUUAAGUCGAACGUGAAAUCCCCGGGCUCAACCCGGGAACUGCGUCCGAUACUGGCAGGCUUGAAUUCGGGAGAGGGAUGCGGAAUUCCUGGUGUAGCGGUGAAAUGCGCAGAUAUCAGGAGGAACACCGGUGGCGAAGGCGGGUCUCUGGGCCUUACCUGACGCUGAGGAGCGAAAGCGUGGGGAGCGAACAGG